GAUGAACGCUGGCGGCGUGCCUAAUACAUGCAAGUCGAGCGAAUGGAUUAAGAGCUUGCUCUUAUGAAGUUAGCGGCGGACGGGUGAGUAACACGUGGGUAACCUGCCCAUAAGACUGGGAUAACUCCGGGAAACCGGGGCUAAUACCGGAUAACAUUUUGAACCGCAUGGUUCGAAAUUGAAAGGCGGCUUCGGCUGUCACUUAUGGAUGGACCCGCGUCGCAUUAGCUAGUUGGUGAGGUAACGGCUCACCAAGGCAACGAUGCGUAGCCGAACUGAGAGGGUGAUCGGCAACACUGGGACUGAGACGCGGCCCAGACUCCUACGGGAGGCAGCAGUAGGGAAGCUUCCGCAAUGGACGAAAGUCUGACGGAGCAACGCCGCGUGAGUGAUGAAGGCUUUCGGGUCGUAAAACGCUGUUGUUAGGGAAGAACAAGUGCUAGUUGAAUAAGCUGGCACCUUGACGGUACCUAACCAGAAAGCCACGGCUAACUACGUGCCAGCAGCCGCCGUAA
rnacentral:rRNA from 1 species